rnacentral:lncRNA from 10 species
GCAAGCUCAGCCUCCAGGGUUCACGCUAUUCUCCUGCCUCAGCCUCCGGAGUAGCUGGGACUACAGGCGCUCACUACCUCGCCCGGCUAAUUUUUUGUAUUUUUACUAGAGACGAGGUUUCACCGUGUUAGCCAGGAUGGUCUCGAUCUCCUGACCUCGUGAUCCGCCCGUCUCGGCUUCCCAAAGUGUUGGGAUUACAGGCGUGAGCCAGCGCGCCCGGACGAAUAUUUGCUCUUCAACAAUUGCCUUGAAGCACAGAGAUGUGGCCAUCAGUGUGUUGAAUAGGAAUCCUUAUUAUAAGUGGUCAUUGUUCAAGUGAAGGAAAGAAAAAUAAGUCAUGCGAUAAAACUCUUCGGCUGUACAAAACCUAGAAAAUCUUGAAUGUCUUCUUAGAAAUACUUGAAGGUGUUUCUACUUGAAGACCAGAGAGAAAGUGAAGUGGUCUCAAAGUGAAUACAUCCAGAAAGCAGCAUCCAAUAUGGCUCUGCAAUUAAGUUUCUAUUCACUCAACUCAGUAAUUGGCUAAUUAUGUCAUGGUUAUUAUAUGUCUUGUGUUGUUCUUAGUCUAAAUUAGGUUCUGUUCAUUUUGGUUCAAUUUUUAUGAGUAGUUUUCUGGUUCUGGUUUUUCUUUUGUUUCAAUAUAUAGUACUUUCAGGCUAAACAGGCAAUACCUCAGUUUGAAAUGUUUAGGAUAAAUUUGUAACCUUCUAAGUCUUUAUGACUUUAAUUUCUCAAAAACGAAUCCACACAUACUAUUUUUUCUCAACAGAGUACAACAGGUAUGUUUAUGUAAACCCUAAUUUAUCUCAUUAACUGCACAGUUGUGUGUAGAGCUGACAUUUUCUGAUGUCUGAUUCUCAUGUAGAAAUAUCUUCGAUCUAAAUCCUUGCAUUAGUGUCAGGAAAAACUUUCUAGAACACGGUGUCUCUUAUGCUGAAUGUCACCAGAAGGCUCUCCUAUGAUGACUUCUCUUUGUAAGGCAAUCCAUUAGAUGUAUCUUUUACUCUGUUAUAAAUAAUGUCACCUUACCUGGGCUAUGCUCUCUACCAGAAUUGUGAGCACUCAUGUUGGUUCUAUUGACAGUUGUGAUAAAUUGUUAUUCAUCUGCAUGUGUUCUUACACAAUAAAAUUAUGAUUCAUAGAAAAAGUAUCUGAGAUUGCUAGCUGGGGAUAAAUUAACAAUUAAAGGCCAAAGAAUUGAACAAGGAACUGCCAUAGCAAGGCUUCAGAAUGAAAACAAAGGCGUUAAUAUCCGCUUUGCCAAGUAAUUAUAAUUACAUCUUCAAAUGUGUUUUUUUCUCAAACACUAGAAUGAGUAAGUUGUUACUGUAUGAUAUAUAUAGAGAGAUAGAUAGAUAGAUAAAGUGUUUUUUAAAUAGUUUUUUGCAUUAAUCGAAUGUUUACUCUGUACCAGAUUCUAUCCAUGUGAUGUAUGUAUCUGUUAGAUAAUCUAAUCUUCACUUUUAUCCUGUGAAUUUGAUACUAUUACUAUCUCUACUUAAUGGUUAAAAAUUCUGAGGAGCAGCCUGAGAUCUCAUAGCCAGCGAGUACUGGAGUUAAGUUCCAAAUCCAUAUAUCAGUAUUCCAGGCUGCAAAACAGAAUUUAGCAAAGAAAGUUCGUAUAUAUUAAGGGACUUUUAUCUAUAAAGCAUUUUAAUAAUUCUUCACAUGCAGCAUGACUAAUAAAAGUUGAUGGCUUUUCUUAACAAAAAUUCCUAAGAAAGAUGAGAACAGAAACUUCCUGGUUAACUAAUCCCAAAACAGUUUAUGAAACCAUAGUAACAGAAUAAUAGAUUAGCUGAGCACUAUAAUUGGGCAGGGAGGGGGAGAUUUGCACAUUUAAAAUGUAAUUUAGGGAAGCACGCAGAAUUUAUAGUAUUAAAUGAACAGUAAUAUUUCAAUGUUAAAUAUUUUAAGACCUUUAAUUUAUAUUCAAUUCAAAAGAAGAAAUUCGUUUCAAGACUAAUUUCACUAGCAAAGUAGUAGCUCCUUUUUCAUUAUUAAACAAGUAAUAAUAACACGGCACUUGAGUCUUUUAUUCACUUAACAAAUAUUUAUUGAUUCCUACUAUAUGUCAGUCACUCUUCAAAAUCAUUUUAUUUUGACUGCGAACAGGAUAGAAAAUAUUCCUGCACCAGUGGAUUUUCAGAUUACCUAGGACGCAGUUAAAAAAAAUAGGAGAGGGAAUUUUCAAUGAGGAUGCUAUAGUAAAUGCUAAGUUGUAUUAGGCAUUUAUUAUGUGACAGACAUUUUUCUAUAUUUUUUACAUCUAUUACUCUAGUUGGAUUUCACAAUUACACUGUCAUGUAAGAAAUAUUUUCAUUCAUAUUUUUCAGAUGAGGAAACUGAGGCAUAAACAUCUCAUAGUGGGGUUCAAGGCAGGCUAUUUUUUUUAAUUAAUAGACUUCAUUUGCUUAGAUUUAGUUUCACAGAAAAUUGACCAUAUAGAACAAAUAGUUCCUACAUACUCGCUCUCUUUUUUAUUCACUAUUUCCCCUAUUAUUAACAUCUUGCAUUAGUGUGACCCAUUUGACAUAAUUGAAACAGUAUUAAGAUAUUAUUAUUAGCUACAGAAUAUUAACUAAAGUUCACCAUACGUUACUUUUGAGAUCAGUCUUUGCAUUUUACAGUUUUGUGUGUUUUGACAAAUGUAUUAUACAAGGUCAUAUAUCUACUAUUAAAAUAUUAUAAAAUAAUUUUGCUACCCUAAAUAUUCCCUGUGCUCCAUCUAUUCAUUUCUCCUCCCUUCCAUCUUGAAACCACUGAUCUUUCUGCUUCCUCUAUAAUUUUGCCUUUUCCUUUUCCAGAAUGUUAUAAGGGUGGAAUCAUAUAGUGUGCAGCCUUGAAAGAGUGGCUUCUUCCACCAAAUAAUGUGCAUUUAAGGUUCCUUCAUGUCUUUACAUGGCUUGAUAGCUCACUUUUUAUCCCUGAAUAAUAACUCAUUAUACAGAUGUAUCACCAUUUGUUUACCCAUUCAUCUGUUGAAGGGCAUGUUGAUUGCUUCCAGCUUUUGUCAAUUAUGGAUAGGCUGCUAUAAACAUUCAUGUGUAGGCUUUUACCAACACAUUUGGACAAACUCCAAGGAGCACAAUUGCUGGAUUAUGAAUAGAAAUAAUUUGAUGGAAAAACAAAUCUACUUUUUGUUUUACAAAGAAAUGUUAUGAAAGCCCUUUCUGAGGAGAAAGCCUUUUACUUGAAAAUUUUUUAAUAGAGGCAGGGUCUUGUUCUGUUCCCCAGGUUGGAGUGCAGUGACACAACCAUAGCUCAUUGCAGCCUUGAACUCCUGAGCUCAAGCGAUCCUCCAGAGUAGCUAGCACUUUAGGCCAGAGCCACUAUAACCCAGCCAGGAGACAACAUUUGAGUGAAAAUCUGAAUAAUAAGAAAACCUAGACAAAGAAAUUCUUGGGUGUAGAGAGGAUUUUCAUUAAACACAAUGAGUUAUAGUUUCUUAACUUAUGAAAUGAAGAUACCUUUGUUAAGAUUUGCUCAAUAUUUGCUUAUAACAACUAAAUUGACAGAAUCAAUAAUUAAUUAUCUUUAAAUGGAGCGUCUAAUAUGUGUACUGUUUACAAUCUUUUUUAUUCAAUGCUAGCAUGUGGACCUGACAUCAUUGUAGAUAUAUAGCUGAUAUGAUAUACAAACAUGAUUUUUAGCGUCUUUUUAAUUUCAAAUAAGU